GAUGAACGCUGGCGGCGUGCCUAAUACAUGCAAGUCGAACGAACGGACGAUAAGCUUGCUUCUCUGAUGUUAGCGGCGGACGGGUGAGUAACACGUGGAUAACCUACCUAUAAGACUGGGAUAACUUCGGGAAUCCGGAUCUAAUACCGGAUGAUAUUUUGAACCGCAUUGUUCAAAAGUGAGAUACGGUCGUGCUGUCACUUAUAGAUGGAUCCGCGCUGCAUUAGCUAGUUGGUAAGGUAACGGCUUACGAAGGCAACGAUGCAUAGACGACCUGAGAGAGUGGUAGGCCACACUGGAACUGAGACACGGUCGAGACUCCUAAGGGAGGCAGCAGUAGGGAAUCUUACGCAAUGGGGGAGAGCAUGACAGAGCAACGCCGCGUGAGUGAUGAAGGUGUUCGGAUCGUGAAACUCUGUUACUAGUGGUGAACAUAUGUGUAAGUAAAUGUGCAGAUAUUGACGGUACCUAAUAAGAAAGCAACGGCUAACUACGUG
rnacentral:rRNA from 1 species